rnacentral:rRNA from 1 species
UACAGAGGUCCCAAGCGUUGUUCGGAUUCAUUGGGCGUAAAGAGCUCGUAGGUGGUUCGGUAAGUCGGAUGUGAAAUCUCCAGGCUCAACCUGGAGGGGUCAUUCGAUACUGCCGUGACUAGAGUUCGGUAGAGGAGUGUGGAAUUCCUGGUGGAGCGGUGAAAUGCGCAGAGAUCAGGAGGAACACCCGUAGCGAAGGCGGCACUCUGGGCCGAUACUGACACUGAGGAGCGAAAGCGUGGGGAGCGAACAGG